rnacentral:rRNA from 1 species
GAUGAACGCCGUUGGCGUGCCUAAUACAUGCAAGUCGAGCGAACAGAUGAGAAGCUUGCUUCUCUGAUGUUAGCGGCGGACGGGUGAGUAACACGUGGGUAACCUACCUAUAAGACUGGGAUAACUCCGGGAAACCGGGGCUAAUACCGGAUAAUAUUUUGAACCGCAUGGUUCAAUAGUGAAAGACGGUUUCAGCUGUCACUUAUAGAUGGACCCGCGCCGUAUUAGCUAGUUGGUAAGGUAACGGCUUACCAAGGCGACGAUACGUAGCCGACCUGAGAGGGUGAUCGGCCACACUGGAACUGAGACACGGUCCAGACUCCUACGGGAGGCAGCAGUAGGGAAUCUUCCACAAUGGGCGAAAGCCUGACGGAGCAACGCCGCGUGAGUGAUGAAGGUCUUCGGAUCGUAAAACUCUGUUGUUAGGGAAGAACAAAUUUGUUAGUAACUGAACAAAUUUUGACGGUACCUAACCAGAAAGCCACGGCUAACUACGUGCCAGCAGCCGCGGUAAUACGUAGGUGGCAAGCGUUAUCCGGAAUUAUUGGGCGUAAAGCGCGCGUAGGCGGUUUCUUAAGUCUGAUGUGAGAGCCCACGGCUCAACCGUGGAGGGUCAUUGGAAACUGGGAAACUGGAGUGCAGAAGAGGAGAGUGGAAUUCCAUGUGUAGCGGUGAAAUGCGCAGAGAUAUGGAGGAACACCAGUGGCGAAGGCGUCUCUCUGGUCUGUAACUGACGCUGAUGUGCGAAAGCGUGGGGAUCAAACAGGAUUAGAUACCCUGGUAGUCCACGCCGUAAACGAUGAGUGCUAAGUGUUAGGGGGUUUCCGCCCCUUAGUGCUGCAGAUAACGCAUUAAGCACUCCGCCUGGGGAGUACGACCGCAAGGUUGAAACUCAAAGGAAUUGACGGGGACCCGCACAAGCGGUGGAGCAUGUGGUUUAAUUUGAAGCAACGCGAAGAACCUUACCAAAUCUUGACAUCUUUUGACCGCUCUAGAGAUAGAGUAUUCCCGUUUGGGGGCCAAAGUGACAGGUGGUGCAUGGUUGUCGUCAGAUAGUGUGGUGAGAUGUCGGAUUAACUCCGGCAAGGAUGCGCAUCUCUUAAGCUUAGUUGCCAUCAUUAAGUGGGGCGCCUUUAGGUCACCACCUGGGUCAUACCCGGAUCGAAGGGUGGAAUAGCGUCAAAUCAUCAUUCGCUCCAUGAUUUUGGUCACACGAGUGUUCCAAUUGUUAAUCCAAAGGUCAGUGAAUUAUCGAGCCCAAGCAAAUCCCAUAAAAUGAUUUUCUGUUCGGAUUGUCGUUUGCAGAUAGAGAACCAAAAUUCUGAUUGGUUAGUUUUGAUAGAUAAGCAUAAUGCGGGGAACAAGUUGUCCGGUUU